GACGAACGCUGGCGGCGUGCUUAACACAUGCAAGUCGAACGGAAAGGCCCUUCUUUUGUGGGGUGCUCGAGUGGCGAACGGGUAAGUAACACGUGAGUAACCUGCCAUUGACUUUGGGAUAACGUCAGGAAACUGGGGCACAUACCGGAAAGGAGCUUCUGCUGGAUGGUGGGGGUGGGAAAGUUUUGGCGGUUGGGGAGGGACCCGAGGAUUAUCGGGUUGUGGGUGGGGUAGUGCAUUACCAAGGCUUUGACGGGUAGCCGGCCGGGGGGGGUGACCGGCCACAUUGGGACUGGAAUACGGCCCGAACUCCUACGGGAGGCAGCAGUGGGGAAUAUUGCACAAUGGGCGGAAGCCGGAGGCAGCAACGCCGCGUGCGGGAUGACGGCCUUCGGUUGGUAAACCGCUUUCGCCUGUGACGAAGCGUGUGUGACGGUAAUGGGUAAAGAAGCACCGGCUAACUACGUG
rnacentral:rRNA from 1 species